rnacentral:rRNA from 1 species
UACGAAGGGGGCUAGCGUUGUUCGGAUUUACUGGGCGUAAAGCGCACGUAGGCGGAUCGAUCAGUCAGGGGUGAAAUCCCAGAGCUCAACUCUGGAACUGCCUUUGAUACUGUCGAUCUGGAGUAUGGAAGAGGUGAGUGGAAUUCCGAGUGUAGAGGUGAAAUUCGUAGAUAUUCGGAGGAACACCAGUGGCGAAGGCGAGUCUCUGGACAUUUCCUGACGCUGAGGCACGAAAGCCAGGGGAGCAAACGGG